rnacentral:lncRNA from 1 species
GUCCCCACAUGCCUGUAUGGGAAUGUGUGGUUCCUGUGUGACUGGCUGAUAUCACGCUGCUUCAGUCCAGUCCCAUUAGAAAGCCUCCACGCUCUCCCGGAGCUGCCGUGUAGGAGGAGAAACUCCACCUGCCCGGCCAGUAGGACUUCCUCCUCCGCCCUUUUCGCACACAGGUGAGUGAGAAGUGUUACCUGGCCAAUACCUGCACUUUGACUUUCUACUCAAGAGGCUUCGGGCUUUUUCUUUUUUCUUCCCCCUGCGGAGACAAGGUCCUCUGUGUGGGAGCGGGACUCCUGAUGGACGCCUUAUGUCUCGGUGCACAUUGCG